UACGGGAGGCAGCAGUGGGGAAUCUUAGACAAUGGGGGAGACCCUGAUCUAGCCAUGCCGCGUGAGCGAUGAAGGCCUUAGGGUUGUAAAGCUCUUUCGUGGGGGAAGAUAAUGACUGUACCCCAAGAAGAAGCCCCGGCUAACUCCGUGCCAGCAGCCGCGGUAAUACGGAGGGUGCGAGCGUUAAUCGGAAUUACUGGGCGUAAAGGGUGCGUAGGUGGUUUAUUAAGUUAGCUGUGAAAUUCCUGGGCUUAACCUGGGCAGGUCAGCUAAGACUGAUGGACUCGAGUAUGGGAGAGGGCAGUGGAAUUUCCGGUGUAGCGGUGAAAUGCGUAGAGAUCGGAAGGAACACCAGUGGCGAAGGCGGCUGCCUGGCCUAAUACUGACACUGAGGCACGAAAGCGUGGGGAGCAAACAGGAUUAGAUACCCUGGUAGUCCACGCUGUAAACGAUGUCAACUAGCUGUUGGUCAUAUGAAUAUGAUUAGUGGCGAAGCUAACGCGAUAAGUUGACCGCCUGGGGAGUACGGUCGCAAGAUUAAAACUCAAAGGAAUUGACGGGGA
rnacentral:rRNA from 1 species